GCUUGCCUAAAGCGGCCGUAGCCGGUUUGGUAAAUCCUCGGGUAAAUCGAGCAGCUUAACUGUUCGAACACCGGGGAGACUGCCAGACUUGGGACCGGGAGAGGUCAGAGGUACUUCAGGGGUAGGGGCUAAAUCCUGUAAUCCUUGAAGGACCACCAGUGGCGAAGGCGUCUGACUAGAACGGAUCCGACGGUAAGGGACGAAACCCUGGGGCGCAAACCGGAUUAGAUACCCGGGUAGUCCAGGGCGUAAACGCUGCAGGCUUGGUGUUGGGGACCCUACGGGGGUGCUCAGUGCCGGAGUGAAGAUGUUAAGCCUGCCGCUUGGGGAGUACGUCCGCAAGGAUGAAACUUAAAGGAAUUGGCGGGAGAGCACAGCAACGGGAGGAGCGUGCGGUUCAAUUGGAUUCAACGCCGUAAAACUCACCGGGAGCGACGAUUACAUGAAGGUCAGGCCGACGACUUUACCUGAUUUUUCGAGAGGUGGUGCAUGGCCGUCGUCAGUUCGUACCGUAAGGCGUUCUGUUAAGUCAGAUAACGAACGAGACCCUCGCCCUUAAUUGCCACCCCAUUCUUCGGAGUGGGCGCACAUUAAGGGGACCGCUGGCGCUAAGUCAGAGGAAGGAGAGGUCAACGGUAGGUCCGCAUGCCCCUAAAAGCC
rnacentral:rRNA from 1 species